rnacentral:ncRNA from 2 species
UCAUUCAUACGACAAUGUGGUGCCUGUCAUGGAAACGUGACGGGCUUAAAAGGGAAUCCGGUGCAAGUCCGGAACAGUUCCCGCUGCUGUAAUCCUGCAUCAUCUGCAACGAUGAUGAAACGGUUUGCCGACAAAGCCACUGUCCCGAUCUGAUCGGGACGGGAAGGCCGGUAAAACCCGGGAAAGUCAGAAAACCUGCCGCAUUAUCAGUAAGCUU